rnacentral:misc_RNA from 1 species
UAUUAUUUGAGAAAGAAAAAGAAGAAGAGAAAAAUAGUUAGUAAGAAAGUAAGAGUAGAUAUAUAGUUGAAGAAAUUAAAAUCAUGGGGUGUUUUCCUUGUUCUGGAGAUGGAGAUACAUCAGUGAAGAAACCAGAGAAAAAAAUAUUUCAAACUAUUAGUAAUCAUAAAUACAAAAGGGUUGAACAGCCACAGCCUAAACAAGUUACGCCGGUGGCUAGUCAAUUUAAAGUUGUGAAGAAUGAAGACGCUAAAGUUGCAAACCGAUCUAUGUCUAAG